CUACGGGCCGCACCAGUGAGGAAUAUUGCACAAUGGGGGGAACCCUGAUGCAGCAACGCCGCGUGGAGGAUGACGCAUUUCGGUGUGUAAACUCCUUUUAUAUGUCAAGAAAAUGACGGUAGCAUAUGAAUAAGCACCGGCUAACUCCGUGCCAGCAGCCGCGGUAAUACGGAGGGUGCAAGCGUUACUCGGAAUCACUGGGCGUAAAGGACGCGUAGGCGGGUUGGAAAGUCAGGUGUGAAAUCCUACAGCUUAACUGUAGAACUGCACUUGAAACUACCAACCUAGAGUAUGGGAGGGGGAGAUGGAAUUAGUGGUGUAGGGGUAAAAUCCGUAGAUAUCACUAGGAAUACCGAAAGCGAAGGCGAUCUCCUGGAACAUAACUGAUGCUAAGGUGUGAAAGCGUGGGGAGCAAACAGGAUUAGAUACCCCUGUAGUC
rnacentral:rRNA from 1 species